rnacentral:lncRNA from 1 species
CGAGCAGGGAGCUACUUUCCCUGGGGACGCAUGCACAUCCCUAGUGGCCCAGAGCCUGAGUCUAAAGGCUCCCUCUUUGGGAUAAAGACAAAUGGUGACGCCUGCCUGGGGGCUGCAACCCCUCCUGCAUGAAGCUGGGACCCUGAACUACGCCCUCUGGGUGGGUCAGAGAAAAUCCACUCUCUGAGGCGGAGCGGACUCUACCUACCAGCCUCAGCUGGUGGAGAACUGUGGCGCUGGUGGCAGGGAACAAAAUGAACAGUUCCCUCUGAGAAGUCCUGACCACAAGCCGGUCCUCUUGUGGGCUUAGAACGAGGAGGAUUCACACUACAAACGUAAACAUUUCAUUUAAAGUGGUCUGGAUAAGGAGCCUGUUGUAUGCUUGGCAGAAGAAAAUUGUCUCAGCAGGAACGCUGAGCCUCAGUUAAAAAUAACUCCCUUGGGACGCCAUAGCAACAUUGUGAGUCGCUGGGAACUCGCCUAAUCAGACCUCUGCAAACAGGCAGGUCUGCGGACGCCAUAGCAACGGCCUGAGUCGCGCAGAACGCGCCGAAUCAGAACGCGCCGAAUCAGCCCACGCCCCAGCAGCAAUCCACGGGACCCCCCCCCCCCACACACACCCUCCACUGUACAGCCAUCUGGUUCCACACUACAAAGACGCAGAGGACACCGGACCACCAGACCACUGUACUGGAUCUCUCCAGAACCCAUCUGUUUCUUUCCAUCUUCACUACCCAAGGCCUAGCUACUUCUACAAGAUGACAGCAGCCCCCAGCAGCCUGUCCUGCCUCGUUCUCACUGUCCAUGUUGGGCCAGGCAGAUAUUCUCCGCAUCAGUGGCUCCUCGGUGCCACUAGGACAAACCCAAAGUCGUCCGGUGUACAACAGUCUUCAGCAUCUGGCCUCUGUUUACCGCCACAUCUAAGCCUGCGUCAUCCCCUCUCAACUUCUAGGUCUUAAAUGUGCUCUAACUGCACCCUGAAUGCUUGACUCAAGCCUUCCAAGACCAUGAACUGCUCGUGAGUGACCAAUGACAUCACCAGUUCCAGGAACAUUCUCCUAUCUCUUGACCAAAGAUUACCGAAGAGACCCAAUUGCUAAACUGCUUCUGCUUCAGCACCCACUUCAAGAUGACCCCCUUCCUCUGGUCUCUCAGACUCUCAAAGAAGCACACACCCUAAGCAAAUCCCCUUCUGCCUCUACUGAGAUGCACCUCUGUCCUCCUGGGGUGCCACCUGUCUUGUAACUGGCCACAGCUACACUCCUGGUGAUCCUUUUCUAGUGGGUUUUAUCAGAAUGACUGAAGUGUUUCUUCACCUAUGAGGCCAAUUUGUAGACAGAUGAUAUACAGUCAUGUCAUGCAACACAUAAUGAUGCCUUUGUCAGUGACAGAUCACAUAUACAAUGGUGGUAUAGUAAGGUCACACCAAUAUUGCCUAGAAAUAUUAGUGUCUUAAUUUGUUUGACAUUUCCAACAACAAAAC